rnacentral:rRNA from 1 species
CCCUAUGGCCUGGAAUAACACGAGGAAACUUGUGCUAAUACCGGAUAAGUCUUUACGGAGAAAGCUUUAUGCACCAUUGGAUGAGCCUGCACUUGAUUAGUUUGUUGGUGGGGUAAUGGCCUACCAAGACUUUGAUCAAUAGCUGAUUUGAGAGGAUGAUCAGCCACAUUGGGCUGAGACACGGCCCAAACUCCUACGGGAGGCAGCAGUGGGGAAUCUUGCACAAUGGAGGAAACUCUGAUGCAACGAUGCCGCGUGAGUGAAGAAGGCCCUUGGGUUGUAAAGCUCUUUCGUCGGGGAAG